GGAGUUAGCCGGUGCUUCUUCUGUGAGUGAUGUCCUUCCUGCCGGCUAUUAACCCGCAGGCCUUCUUCCUCACUGAAAGUGCUUUACAACCCGAAGGCCUUCUUCACACACGCGGCAUGGCUGGAUCAGGGUUGCCCCCAUUGUCCAAUAUUCCCCACUGCUGCCUCCCGUAGGAGUCUGGGCCGUGUCUCAGUCCCAGUGUGGCUGAUCAUCCUCUCAGACCAGCUACGGAUCGUCGCCUUGGUGAGCCGUUACCUCACCAACCAGCUAAUCCGACAUAGGCUCAUCCGAUAGCGCGAGGCCCGAAGGUCCCCCGCUUUCCCCCGUAGGGCGUAUGUGGUAUUAGCCUGGGUUUCCCCAGGUUAUCCCCCACUACCGGGCAGAUUCCUAUGCAUUACUCACCCGUCCGCCGCUCGCCACCAGGGAGCAAGCUCCCCGUGCUGCCGCUCGACUUGCAUGUGUUAGGCCUGCCGCCAGCGUUCAAUCUGAGCCAAGAUCAAAUUCUGA
rnacentral:rRNA from 1 species